rnacentral:rRNA from 1 species
AUUGAACGCUGGCGGCAGGCCUAACACAUGCAAGUCGAGCGAGCGGCGGACGGGUGAGUAAUGUCUGGGAAACUGCCUGAUGGAGGGGGAUAACUACUGGAAAAGGUAGCUAAUACCGCAUACCAUCAGAUGUGCCCAGAUGGGAUUAGCUAGUAGGUGGGGUAACGGCUCACCUAGGCGACGAUCCCUAGCUGGUCUGAGAGGCUGACCAGGUAGACUGGAACUGAGACACGGUCCAGACUCCUGCGGGAGGCAGCAGUGGGGAAUAUUGCGCAAUGGACGCAAGCCUGAUGCAGCCCUGCCGAGUGUGUGAAGAAGGCCUUCGGGUUGUAAAGCACUGUCAGCGGGGAGGCGUUACCCGCAGAAGAAGCACCGGCUAACUCUGUGCCAGCAGCCGCGGUAAUAC